GGCAGUGUAGUAUAAUGGUUAGAGAGCUGAGCUUGUAACCUAAAGGUCACAGGUUCGAUUCCUGGGUCGGGCACUGCCG
rnacentral:tRNA from 1 species